rnacentral:rRNA from 1 species
UUAUGAAUGGCCGCGGUACUUUGACCGUGCUAAGGUAGCGCAAUCAAUUGGCUUUUAAUUGAAGCCAUGUAUGAAUGGAAUCACGGGGCUUUGCUGUCUCUUGACUAAUUUAUCGAAAUUACUAUUCAGGUGAAAAAGCCUGGAAGAAGAAAAAGGACGAGAAGACCCUUAGAGUUUUUCCAAAUUUAGAGGACACUCUCUAUAAAGGUUUAGUUGGGGCAACAAGGGAGCAUCAUUUAACAAACCUCCUUUAGAACACACACCGAUACUAAUAAACACGAAUAAACUACCUUAGGGAUAACAGCAUAAUUUUAUAAAUAAGUUUGUGACCUCGAUGUUGGACUAGGAAACUAAAAGGCUAGCCGCCUUUUAGGAAGGUUCUGUUCGAACCGUUAUUCCU